rnacentral:rRNA from 1 species
UACGGAGGGUGCGAGCGUUAAUCGGAAUUAUUGGGCGUAAAGGGUGCGUAGGUGGUUUAAUAAGUUAUGUGUAAAAUUCCUGGGCUCAACCUGGGGUGGACAGAUAAGACUGUUAGACUGGAGUACAGGAGAGGGUAGUGGAAUUUCCGGUGUAGCGGUGAAAUGCGUAGAGAUCGGAAGGAACACCGGUGGCGAAGGCGGCUAUCUGGCCUGAUACUGACACUGAGGCACGAAAGCGUGGGGAGCGAACAGG